AGUAAUACAUGAAUAACCUGCCUCUUACCUGGGGAUAACGGCUGGAAACGGCCGCUAAUACCGAAUGAGGUGUACUUAAGGAAUCUUAAGUCCAUCAAAGUGGGGGAUCCUGAAAGGGACCUUGCGGUANGAGAGGGGUUCGUGGGAUAUCAGCUAGUUGGUGUGGUAAAGGCGCACCAAGGCUAAGACGUCUAGGCGGAUUGAGAGAUUG
rnacentral:rRNA from 1 species